rnacentral:misc_RNA from 1 species
AAAAAAAAAAAAAAAAAAAACUCUAGAUCUCUAAUAAGCAACAGAUUACUUGCAAAUUUGUUUACGACUUUGUUCUUCUUCUUUGACAUCUACGCUAACAUCUGUUCCCUCAGGUUGUCCCUCAACUUGCGAGGAAAAGGCGCUGGUUCCUCUGAAAAUAGGAUGAGAGGGUACCAUGCCAGACACGGAAAUUCGUCUAACUGCACUGCAGAGGCUAGUAUACUUUGUAACCACAUCCUUGUAUAGACUUAGCAAUCUCUCAACAUCUUUGACCGUCAAUUCGCCAGCCUCAGCUUCCAUAUAAGGAUAAUGUAAUGUGCCAUUCAUAUUUGUUUCUACAUCGUCCAUGCUUGUUGAAGUACCAGGACCUGUCUCUGCUCCUAAAUCUGUCAUUCCGUAUGAUGGUUCCACUUGUGAUUUGUUGUUGGCCAGCCUUGCUGAUUGCAUACUUUGUUCGAAUUCAAUUUCAUCCAUGGAAAGAGAUUUGGCAUUUAAGUCGAUGAUAAAGGAUUUGGCUGAGACAAGAUUUGUAAAAUAAUAAGCUGCUUCAGAGACCAGUUUUGCCUGCCUACGGUACAAUUGGAUGAAUUUGAGGUUGGAAUGCAACUGAGGAGGAUUGGCCUGCUCAAGAAACUAAUUAAUUUUUAAGAAGCAAGAAAACAUUAAAACCAACUUCUUCUUACACAAGGAAAUUCACACAAAGCUUCAAAAUAUUUGGAAAAUAUACACACAUAUACACAAAAUGGUAGCAAAAUAAUGCAGAUAUAAAAGAAACAAGCAUGGACAUAUCAUAUCCAUCACAAAAGCUGAGGCUUUCAUAGAACCAAAUCCAUAUUCGUCUUACAAAGAAAACUGGACCAUCAUGAAGAUUAAAGUAUUUUGGAAAAAAGAAGUAAAAAAAUGAAAAUGGAAAAAAAAAGGGAUAAAGGGGCAUGCUUAUAGAAUUUGCAAUAGUAGCCCAAAGAACACUGUUUUUAGAAAGAAAGAAAAAGCAUUAAGAAUUAAUCAUGACUUUAAUUAGAAGAGUAUGAUCACCUCAAGUACCCUUGGCCUUACAAAUCAAAAUUCAGUAUAUUAGUACCUAUGAGAAAAAGUCAUGCGACUAACUUUUGUCAUUCGAAACCCUUUUCAAAAUCAACCAUAAAACAGAACUGAUAAGUGCACGUUGUUGUAAAUGGCUCAGAAAGGUACAACAGUUUGGUAGUAAUGAACUUUACAAUGUCUGUUGAAGCAAGCGAAUUACAUAAUCAUGCUCAGGUUGACAAGUAACAUAUAAAUGAUAAUCAAAUAGAACUGUUUCAAUGGUUAUGCAAACAUGGUACAGAAACAAUAAUCCAGAAUAGGAAAAUGAUGAUAAGCAGAAUGGCUUAUUACCAAGGAGAGCUUGCCUUGAUUGUAACAUAAAUGAGAACAGGAAGAAAGUCAUCAGCCCCUCCCAGUGCAUGAUUUUCUGAAAUUGAUGCAUUGAGCAGCAAAUUAUUGAUGACUCUACAACAACUCAUUAUACAUAGAAGCUUCUCACGAGGAGCCUUGAAAGCAUUGAUCUUUUGCAAUUCUUUUUCUGCAAGCUAGGAAAAGGUGGAGUAUUAUGGCUAGUCUUUUGAGGGAAUAAGUAUUACCAUCAACUGAAAAAUCCCCUCCUCCCCCUCUAAGAAAGAAGAAGAAAGAGUGGCUCCAUAUUGAAGUAAAAUAUAAAAAAAAACGAAGAAAGAAAAAAAGGAAAAUCUAUACUAUGGCAUUGUAUUAAUAAACUUUUUAAAGUAGUAAUAAUAACAACAAAUCAUUCAACAUCUUAAGUGUCUUUUCGCAUAUAAUAUUUACCUUAAAUAGUUCUAAUCAUAAUCCAAUUCCAAACAACAAGCUAAAGAAUAAACUGAAAAAAGUUACUAUUAUUAAAUUAAUGAAAAGGCGAUGCAGAUUAGGUGGAACAAGUUUAAGCUCCAGUAAAAGCAAGGUUAAAAAAACUUAAGUAACUUUUAAUUAUGAUGAAGAUUUCACAAAGGUCUAGUUGGAAUAUUACUGAGUACUUGCUAGCACAGUCUUACAUGUUUUUAUAUUUCAGCAAAUUAGCUGCUGCUGGUUCAGUACUUUUCAGCUUUAAGACAGGUACUUUCAUAAUUUCCAUCUUUGUCGGAACAAGCUGGUUGGAUUUGGAUGUCUUUAGGAAUUAGGAUUUAUUUAUGCGUAUUUUAAGGAAAUUUUGGUUUUAUGUGGGAGUCAUAAUCAUUAUACAUCUUGACUAAUUUUUGGAAUCUAAUGUUUAAAGGUUUACGGAUUACUUUCAGUCUAUAAAUACCCAAGCUUGUAACCAUUUAUUAAUGAGACAUCAAAUAAUAUAAUUCUAAUUAUUAAUGAUUCUUAGAUUGUGAGGUGCAAUUCAACUCUAAGUGUGAUGCCUGUGAAAAUUGGGCAUGAUAAUAACAAAAGAUGGAAGUGUGAUAACAAGGCUAGACUAUGUUUGCAUUCAAACAUCCUUGAAUCCAGGAGGUCUAUAUGAUCUUGGAAUCCACCAGAGAAUAAAGAGAACUGAGCUUUUAUUUAAAUUUGGCUAUCCCCUCCAACAAGUAUGUAAGAUGCCCAUUUUAUGACGCACAUGGAACCUAGUUUAUUUACUGGCCAUCUUAUAAAGAAAAAGGGUCUUGUGGAUGUCUGUCACAGAGUGAAUCAAUUCUAAUUUACAGAGCUUUUCUGUAAAUGAUUAAAUUGAUACAAAUGUAGCUUUCUAAUAGUGAGGUUUUAAAUUUCCUGAUAAAUUUUUUUUUAAAAAAAAGGUUGAGGAAUCUGUUGUCAUUAAGCCAAUAAAUUAAAGAAAAUUCCCAGCAGUCAAAUAAGACCAACUGCAUACCAGCCAUGAAGCUUCAUUCUGAAGGAAUUUUGGAAUAUCCAAAUGCUCAGGUCUCAAGAAGGUUUGUAACAAUUGUAUCUUUUCAAAGAUUUCUCUAUCAAUCUUAACAUCCUCAGGAGAAGCGGUAAAUGUUCGGGAGAACAAUUUUGUCAUCACAUAUUUCUCUAAACCCUAAAACAUAUAAAUGAAAGAGAUGAAUAACAAGUGAAAUAAACAAUUGUCCAAUUAGACAAUUAAAAUGCUACAAACAAUUUGUUAUCAUAUCAUAUGGAAUUCAAGAUAAUGGAAAUAGAGAGGUAGGAUGGCAGGAAGAUUUUAAAUAAACAUAGAAGGCAUGGUAAUAAUAAAUAUAUAAACAUAUGCACGUUUAUAAGUUUGUGAGCACACACAAUUAAUACACAAAUCAAAUCAACUUCUAAUCUAAUCAUGGAAAAGUCAAACCAGCAUAAGCUAUCAUGACCUAAAUCGUGCAUUCCCUUAUUUUAUUGGAUAUCACUUCAACUAUCCUUGAAAAGACUAGCAACAUUUACACUAUGUUUGGAAUUGGAUGGAAGGUACAGAUGGACAGGGAAACAAAAGGGAAGGAAUAGACAUGAAGAGGUGUUAAUUUUCUCUUAUCUUAUGAGAUGUGAAAUAUGACUUCACUGUGUUCCUAUCCACUUGUCAGAAAAUAUUUAUUGUUUUGGAAGAAAUAUUUAUUCUGUAUUACUGUCCCUCUUCUCCCACUUCCUGCCACUGCACAUGGGAAGUAACAGUCACUAUUUUCUUCAGUUAUCUUCCUUUCAACUUUUUGUUUCCCUUGUAAGAAGUGAAAAUUAUGAUUUAGUUCAUUUAAUUAACAAACAUGAGACUAGAUAAUAUAUACUUUAAACUACAACAGUUCUCGAAGGAAUAUUUGCAAUUAUAUGCACACCUUCUCUUUUUAUACAAUUUACACUUUGUUUGGAAGAUAAAGAGGGAGCAAGGAAAAUAAGA